rnacentral:rRNA from 1 species
UGAACGCUGGCGGCGUGCCUAAUACAUGCAAGUAGAACGCUGAAGGAGGAGCUUGCUCUUCUGGAUGAGUUGCGAACGGGUGAGUAACGCGUAGGUAACCUGCCUGGUAGCGGGGGAUAACUAUUGGAAACGAUAGCUAAUACCGCAUGACAACAGUUAUUGCAUGAUAACUGUUUAAAAGGGGCAACUGCUCCACUACCAGAUGGACCUGCGUUGUAUUAGCUAGUUGGUGAGGUAACGGCUCACCAAGGCGACGAUACAUAGCCGACCUGAGAGGGUGAUCGGCCACACUGGGACUGAGACACGGCCCAGACUCCUACGGGAGGCAGCAGUAGGGAAUCUUCGGCAAUGGACGGAAGUCUGACCGAGCAACGCCGCGUGAGUGAAGAAGGUUUUCGGAUCGUAAAGCUCUGUUGUAAGAGAAGAACGAGUGUGAGAGUGGAAAGUUCACACUGUGACGGUAUCUUACCAGAAAGGGACGGCUAACUACGUG